UUCACACAGAGCCUGGCAUUUGCCCAUAAAUUAGAGUGGCCAUCUGGAAAAAGAAGAGGAAUUGAAUCUUGGAGUAUAAUUUUUCUGUCUCAUGCUUUUAUGGAAAUGUGGGUGCAGGAGGAUGAAAUGAGGUCAAAGGAAGCUUUUGGAUUACAGCUGAUUUUCACUUUUCUUCUUUGAUGGGGAAUAAGAGAGAGUUAGGGGCAUGAAUGUUUGCUGCUGUGGCUGGAUUGUAGACAGAAGCUGCCAGAUCUACCCUUCUUCUUCCAGUGUGCCUUGUGCCAUCCUAAGUCUUUUC